UAUACACGAUCAGUUCGUGUAUCGGGUGAGUGGCUGGAGACGGAGCGAAGGGGGGAGGGCACUACACGAUCAGUUCCUGUAAAGACUGGGUGAGGGGGAAGGAGGGGACCGGGGGAGGCCUCAUUAGUCUUCAUCGGGGGCCUCAGACAGCAGGACGCUCAUUUGCGGGUGUUAUUCUACUUGGCUUAAUUCUUACUACCUGGCACACUUCACAGCAAAGAGAAUGGCAGAUAAAUAGAAUGAAAACUAAAGACAGAAACAAACUCAAAACAGAAUCAGUAAGAGACAUUCUUUUAGCAAAACAGUCUGUAACAUUCGAGCCAUCCAGGAGCAUGAUAAGGAGUAUGACUUCCCAAGUACUUUAUCCAACUGGUGUGGAAAGUGAUCCAAACUAUCCAGAAAUCCACGGGGAUUCAGCCAGCGACCUAUAAAAGGGAGCUGCCGAUAUAAAGGCCUGACCCAGAAGAAAUUCUGCGUCACCUGUACCAUCAAGAUCAAGAUCAAGAUCAUCAAAACAAACAUGGAUCCCGGCGUAGCAGCGCUCGUUCUGGGCAUUUUUCUGAAGAAGCAGCUGGAGAUGAAAAAAAGAAAGCGCCUAUGGAUUUGCGAAUGGUUGGCUCGAAGACGAACCGAGAGUGUAUGCUACAGGUUGCUUCGAGAAAUUAACACGAGGACCCAGACACGAUGAGGCACUGGCUACGGUUAGACCAGGCUCAGUUCCAGACCUUAUUGGACCAGGUUACUUCACUCAUCAAGAAGCAGUACACAAAUAUGCGUUCGUCUUUGACACCUGCAGAACGCCUAAUGCUUACCUUGCGCUACUUAGCAACAGAUUGUGUUAAGAAUGUGGAGAAAGACCAAGGCAAGAGGAAUAGGAGGAGGAGGAGGAAGAAGAAG